rnacentral:rRNA from 1 species
AAAGGGAGAUUAAUACCGCAUAACGUUGAAAGAUGGCAUCAUCAUUCAACCAAAGGAGCAAUCCGCUAUGAGAUGGACCCGCGGCGCAUUAGCUAGUUGGUGGGGUAACGGCCUACCAAGGCGACGAUGCGUAGCCGACCUGAGAAGGUGAUCGGCCACAUUGGGACUGAGACACGGCCCAGACUCCUACGGGAGGCAGCAGUGGGGAAUAUUGCACAAUGGGGGAAACCCUGAUGCAGCAACGCCGCGUGAGUGAUGAAGGUUUUCGGAUCGUAAAGCUCUGUCUUUGGGGAAGAUAAUGACGGUACCCAAGGAGGAAGCCACGGCUAACUACGUGCCAGCAGCCGCGGUAAUACGUAGGUGGCGAGCGUUAUCCGGAUUUACUGGGCGUAAAGGGAGCGUAGGCGGAUGAUUAAGUGGGAUGUGAAAUACCCGGGCUCAACUUGGGUGCUGCAUUCCAAACUGGUUAUCUAGAGUGCAGGAGAGGAGAGUGGAAUUCCUAGUGUAGCGGUGAAAUGCGUAGA